rnacentral:tRNA from 1 species
GGAUCGUGAGCAGCACUGGCGACUGCAGCGGGCUGUAACCCCGUCUCCUUCGGGAAAACUUCGUUCGACUCGAAGACGAUCCACCA